UACGUAGGGUGCAAGCGUUAAUCGGAAUUACUGGGAGUAAAGCGUGCGCAGGCGGUUUUGUAAGUCUUUCGUGAAAGCCCCGGGCUCAACCUGGGAAUUGCGAUGGAGCCUGCAAGGCUUGAAUCUGGCAGAGGGGGGGUAGAAUUCCACGUGUAGCAGUGAAAUGCGUAGAGAUGUGGAGGAACACCGAUGGCGAAGGCAGCCCCCUGGGUCAAGAUUGACGCUCAUGCACGAAAGCGUGGGGAGCAAACAGG
rnacentral:rRNA from 1 species